rnacentral:rRNA from 1 species
AGCUAAUACAUGCAUUAAGACCCGACUUCUCCGGAAGGGUCGUAUUUAUUAGAUACAGAACCACCUCGUCUUCGGACGGUUUUGGAUGACUCAUGAUAAAUGAACGGAGCGUAUAGCGAGAGCUGACGCUGUGCCAUUCAAGUUUCUGACCUAUCAGCUUUCGACGGUAGGGUAUUGGCCUACUGUGGCAUUGACGGGUAACGGAGAAUUAGGGUUCGAUUCCGGAGAGGGAGCCCGAGAAACGGCUACCACAUCUAAGGAAGGCAGCAGGCGCGCAAAUUACCCAAUCCUGAUUUUUUGAGGUAGUGACAAGAAAUAACAAAACAAGCCACUUCGUGGGCGCUGUGUUGGAAUGAGUAGAAUUUAGAUCUCUUUACGACUAUCAAUUGGAGGGCAAGUCUGGUGCCAGCAGCCGCGGAAAUUCCAGCUCCAAUAGCGUAUAUUAAAGUUGUUGCGGUUAAUAAGCUCGUAGUUGGAUUUCUGCUUGGGUCGACUGGCCUGUGCCUUGCACAUCAUCUAGUUCGAUUUAG